CCUACGGGGGGCAGCAGUGAGGAAUAUUGGUCAAUGGACGAGAGUCUGAACCAGCCAAGUAGCGUGAAGGAUGACUGCCCUAUGGGUUGUAAACUUCUUUUAUAUGGGAAUAAAAUGUUCCACGUGUGGGAUUUUGUAUGUACCAUAUGAAUAAGGAUCGGCUAACUCCGUGCCAGCAGCCGCGGUAAUACGGAGGAUCCGAGCGUUAUCCGGAUUUAUUGGGUUUAAAGGGAGCGUAGGUGGAUUGUUAAGUCAGUUGUGAAAGUUUGCGGCUCAACCGUAAAAUUGCAGUUGAAACUGGCAGUCUUGAGUACAGUAGAGGUGGGCGGAAUUCGUGGUGUAGCGGUGAAAUGCUUAGAUAUCACGAAGAACUCCGAUUGCGAAGGCAGUUCACUGGACUGCAACUGACACGGAGGCUCGAAAGUGUGGGUAUCAAACAGGAUUAGAUACCCGGGUAGUC
rnacentral:rRNA from 1 species